rnacentral:rRNA from 1 species
AAAUUGAAGAGUUUGAUCAUGGCUCAGAUUGAACGCUGGCGGCAGGCCUAACACAUGCAAGUCGAACGGUAACAGGAAGCAGCUUGCUGCUUCGCUGACGAGUGGCGGACGGGUGAGUAAUGUCUGGGAAACUGCCUGAUGGAGGGGGAUAACUACUGGAAACGGUGGCUAAUACCGCAUAACGUCGCAAGACCAAAGAGGGGGACCUUCGGGCCUCUUGCCAUCAGAUGUGCCCAGAUGGGAUUAGCUAGUUGGUGAGGUAACGGCUCACCAAGGCGACGAUCCCUAGCUGGUCUGAGAGGAUGACCAGCCACACUGGAACUGAGACACGGUCCAGACUCCUACGGGAGGCAGCAGUGGGGAAUAUUGCACAAUGGGCGCAAGCCUGAUGCAGCCAUGCCGCGUGUAUGAAGAAGGCCUUCGGGUUGUAAAGUACUUUCAGCGGGGAGGAAGGUGUUGUGGUUAAUAACCGCAGCAAUUGACGUUACCCGCAGAAGAAGCACCGGCUAACUCCGUGCCAGCAGCCGCGGUAAUACGGAGGGUGCAAGCGUUAAUCGGAAUUACUGGGCGUAAAGCGCACGCAGGCGGUCUGUCAAGUCGGAUGUGAAAUCCCCGGGCUCAACCUGGGAACUGCAUUCGAAACUGGCAGGCUUGAGUCUUGUAGAGGGGGGUAGAAUUCCAGGUGUAGCGGUGAAAUGCGUAGAGAUCUGGAGGAAUACCGGUGGCGAAGGCGGCCCCCUGGACAAAGACUGACGCUCAGGUGCGAAAGCGUGGGGAGCAAACAGGAUUAGAUACCCUGGUAGUCCACGCCGUAAACGAUGUCUACUUGGAGGUUGUGCCCUUGAGGCGUGGCUUCCGGAGCUAACGCGUUAAGUAGACCGCCUGGGGAGUACGGCCGCAAGGUUAAAACUCAAAUGAAUUGACGGGGGCCCGCACAAGCGGUGGAGCAUGUGGUUUAAUUCGAUGCAACGCGAAGAACCUUACCUGGUCUUGACAUCCACAGAACUUUCCAGAGAUGGAUUGGUGCCUUCGGGAACUGUGAGACAGGUGCUGCAUGGCUGUCGUCAGCUCGUGUUGUGAAAUGUUGGGUUAAGUCCCGCAACGAGCGCAACCCUUAUCCUUUGUUGCCAGCGAUUAGGUCGGGAACUCAAAGGAGACUGCCAGUGAUAAACUGGAGGAAGGUGGGGAUGACGUCAAGUCAUCAUGGCCCUUACGACCAGGGCUACACACGUGCUACAAUGGCGCAUACAAAGAGAAGCGACCUCGCGAGAGCAAGCGGACCUCAUAAAGUGCGUCGUAGUCCGGAUUGAGUCUGCAACUCGACUCCAUGAAGUCGGAAUCGCUAGUAAUCGUGGAUCAGAAUGCCACGGUGAAUACGUUCCCGGGCCUUGUACACACCGCCCGUCACACCAUGGGAGUGGGUUGCAAAAGAAGUAGGUAGCUUAACCUUCGGGAGGGCGCUUACCACUUUGUGAUUCAUGACUGGGGUGAAGUCGUAACAAGGUAACCGUAGGGGAACCUGCGGUUGGAUCACCUCCUUACCUUAAAGAAGC